AUGCAUGAUUUAAGGAGCAGCAACUCAGCAAGGGGCUCAUUUUUGGGGCAUUCCUCGCAUGUUCCGCUGCAUGUACUCACAUGCAUGUUUACUAUUCCAAAAUGUUUCAUGGUUUUAUUGUGAAAUUAAAGUUAUUACAAAGAUCGACGUGAUUUAGUUAUAUUAUAUAUAUAUAGGAUUGAGUAAUAUAACUUCGUUAAAUUUCAUUGAAAUAAAUUUUAUUCAAGUGUUUGAUUUAUGGCUAUUGGUGAAUAUACUUUUCGAGACUGCAUGCAUGCACAAGUUAGGUAACGCGUGUUAAUUUAAUUUGCUUUUCACUGACAAUUUGAGUGAAAACUGUCGGUGUGUUUACUGAUUUUAGUAAAGUGAUGUUGUACUCAAGAAUUUGAGUCACUGUGGG